rnacentral:rRNA from 1 species
UACGUAGGGGGCUAGCGUUGUCCGGAAUUAUUGGGCGUAAAGAGCUCGUAGGCGGUCUGUCGCGUCGAUCGUGAAAACUUGGGGCUUAACCCUGAGCUUGCGGUCGAUACGGGCAUGACUGGAGUUCGGCAGGGGAGACUGGAAUUCCUGGUGUAGCGGUGAAAUGCGCAGAUAUCAGGAGGAACACCGGUGGCGAAGGCGGGCAUC